rnacentral:rRNA from 1 species
AAUCAACGCUGGCGGCGUGCCUCAGACAUGCAAGUCGAACGAUUAAAGCUCUCUUCGGAGAGUGUAUAGAGUGGCGCACGGGUGAGUAACACGUAAGUAAUCUACCCUCGAGUGGGGAAUAACAACCGGAAACGGUUGCUAAUACCGCAUAAUGCAGCGGCACCGCAAGGUGACAGUUGUUAAAGAUUUAUCGCUUGAGGAGGAGCUUGCGGCAGAUUAGCUAGUUGGUAGGGUAACGGCUUACCAAGGCUACGAUCUGUAACCGGUCUAAGAGGACGGUCGGUCACACUGACACUGAAUAACGGGUCAGACUCCUACGGGAGGCAGCAGUCGGGAAUUUUGGGCAAUGGGCGAAAGCCUGACCCAGCAACGCCGCGUGAAGGAUGAAGUAUUUCGGUAUGUAAACUUCGAAAGAAUAGGAAGAAUUAAUGACGGUACUAUUUAUAAGGUCCGGCUAACUACGUGCCAGCAGCCGCGGUAAAGUGACGCUUCU